AAAAUCCUGCGAUGUACGUUUUGAUUCUAAGUUGUUUUGAACCAAUGACUGUUUCACGGGACUCCAAUAAAUAGUAUGGCUGUCAUGCCCCAAUCCUGGGGACUUCAAAAAUAUUGUUGAGGAAACCCACCUGCGAGAGCGGGUUCAUGAAACACAAGAAUCGAACGGCAUAAGCGGGUUUUUU
rnacentral:other from 1 species